GACGAACGCUGGCGGCGUGCCUAAUACAUGCAAGUCGAGCGGACUUUCAAGAAGCUUGCUUUUUGAAAGUUAGCGGCGGACGGGUGAGUAACACGUGGGCAACCUGCCUGCAAGACGGGGAUAACUCCGGGAAACCGGGGCUAAUACCGGAUAAUAUCUUCCUGCGCAUGAAGGAAGGUUGAAAGGCGGCGCAAGCUGCCGCUUGCAGAUGGGCCCGCGGCGCAUUAGCUAGUUGGUGAGGUAACGGCUCACCAAGGCGACGAUGCGUAGCCGACCUGAGAGGGUGAUCGGCCACACUGGGACUGAGACACGGCCCAGACUCCUACGGGAGGCAGCAGUAGGGAAUCUUCCGCAAUGGACGAAAGUCUGACGGAGCAACGCCGCGUGAGCGAAGAAGGUCUUCGGAUCGUAAAGCUCUGUUGUCAGGGAAGAACAAGUACCGUUCGAACAGGGCGGUACCUUGACGGUACCUGACCAGAAAGCCACGGCUAACUACGUG
rnacentral:rRNA from 1 species